rnacentral:rRNA from 1 species
UGGGGGAUAUUGCACAAUGGGGGAAACCCUGAUGCAGCGACGCCGCGUGAGUGAAGAAGGUUUUCGGAUUGUAAACCUCUGUCGCAAGGGACGAAACAAAUGACGGUACCUUGUGAGGAAGCCCCGGCUAACUACGUGCCAGCAGCCGCGGUAAUACGUAGGGGGCGAGCGUUGUCCGGAAUUACUGGGCGUAAAGGGUGCGUAGGCGGUUGCUUAAGUUGGAUGUGAAAUACCCGGGCUUAACUUGGGGGGUGCAUUCAAAACUGGGCAACUAGAGUUCAGGAGAGGGAAGCGGAAUUCCUAGUGUAGCGGUGAAAUGCGUAGAUAUUAGGAGGAACACCAGUGGCGAAGGCGGCUUUCUGGACUGACACUGACGCUGAGGCACGAAAGCGUGGGGAGCAAACA